AGUAUAAUCCAUAAAGCCACAAACUUUAAACAUUGACUAUUUUGACUUGUUCAAAUAUACCUUUCUCUCUAACAAUUGCUUGAAUACUCACGGCGAUAAUCACGAUAACCGUGACUAUCACUACCCGCAACUUUCCCUUUCUCAUAGUUACUCUCUUCUUCCUGAUCUUGAUUUAACCAUCCAAUAGUGCCAGUAAGCUGGCUCCCAACGUUAAUCUUGGCUACCUCGAAGAAUAAUCUACGGGAGCAGACGGCCCACUCGGCACACAAUAAUUAGA
rnacentral:misc_RNA from 1 species